UCCCCAGUGGCUCAGCUGGUAGAGAAUCUGCCUGCAAUGCAGGAGACCUGGGUUCGAUCCCUGGGUUGGGAA
rnacentral:tRNA from 1 species